GACGAACGCUGGCGGCGUGCUUAACACAUGCAAGUCGAACGGAAAGGCCCUGCUUGCAGGGUACUCGAGUGGCGAACGGGUGAGUAACACGUGGGUGAUCUGCCCUGCACUUCGGGAUAAGCCUGGGAAACUGGGUCUAAUACCGGAUAGGAGCCAUUUUUAGUGUGAUGGUUGGAAAGUUUUUUCGGUGUAGGAUGAGCUCGCGGCCUAUCAGCUUGUUGGUGGGGUAAUGGCCUACCAAGGCGGCGACGGGUAGCCGGCCUGAGAGGGUGGACGGCCACAUUGGGACUGAGAUACGGCCCAGACUCCUACGGGAGGCAGCAGUGGGGAAUAUUGCACAAUGGGCGCAAGCCUGAUGCAGCGACGCCGCGUGGGGGAUGACGGCCUUCGGGUUGUAAACUACUUUCGCUAGGGACGAAGCUUUUGUGACGGUACCGAGAUAAGAAGCACCGGCUAACUACGUG
rnacentral:rRNA from 1 species